rnacentral:Y_RNA from 1 species
GGGUGGUCCGAAUGUAGUGAGUUAUCUCAAUUGAUUGUACACAGUCAGUUACAGAUUGAACUCCUUGUUCUACUACUUUCCCCGCUUCUCACUACUGCACUUGAUUAGUUUUAA